GACCGGUUUUUGCAGAUCUCGAUUCCGGUACGGUAAAAAAUGGAUUUAACCGUUCCGGCUCGUUGCAAUCGGCAUGGCUGGUGUGUAUAAUGGGCUUAUUCGCCGCUCUCCAAGGCGGCGUCAUUUUAGGAGGUUGUUCAUUUGAAAGGAACAGUUAAGUGGUUCAACGCAGAAAAAGGCUACGGUUUCAUCCAAGUCGAGAACGGUGAAGACGUAUUCGUUCACUUCUCUGCUAUCCAAACCGACGGCUUCAAGUCGCUGGACGAAGGUCAAGCUGUAGAAUUCGACAUUACGGACGGCAACCGCGGUCCUCAAGCUGCUAACGUCGUUAAACUGUAGGUUUAUAAGAUCCGCUUAGGCGGGUUUGCUUCUAAUAGAGCAGAACAAGGCCCCCUCAAGGGGGCCUUGUUUUU
rfam:Paenibacillus sp. D9 Scaffold1, whole genome shotgun sequence.